UAACUAGGUCAGCUAAAAUAAGCUCUUGGGCCCAUACCCCAACAAUAAAGGUUAAAAUCCUUUCCUCGUUAAC
rnacentral:tRNA from 1 species